rnacentral:rRNA from 1 species
AACGCAGUAGCAAUACUGAGUGGCAAACGGGUGAGUAUAAUGUGGGAAUCUGCCUUUUGGUUUGGAAUAACACGGGGAAACUUGUGCUAAUGCCGAAUAAGCCUCCACAGGGAAAGUUUUAAUGCCAAAAGAUGAGCCCGCACUUGAUUAGCUAGUUGGUAAGGUAAAAGCUUACCAAGGCAACGAUCAAUAGCUGUUCUUAGAGGAAGACCAGCCACAUUGGGACUGAGACACGGCCCAGACUCCUACGGGAGGCAGCAGUGGGGAAUCUUGCACAAUGGGGGAAACCCUGAUGCAGCGAUGCCGCGUGAGUGAAGAAGGCCUUUGGGUUGUAAAACUCUUUCGUCGGGGAAGAAAAUGACUGUACCCGAAUAAGAAGGUCCGGCUAACUUCGUGCCAGCAGCCGCGGUAAUACGAAGGGACCUAGCGUAGUUCGGAAUUACUGGGCUUAAAGAGCUCGUAGGUGGUUAAAAAAGUUGAUGGUGAAAUCCCAAGGCUCAACCUUGGAACUGCCAUCAAAACUUUUUAGCUAGAGUGUGAUAGAGGUAAGUGGAAUUUCUAGUGUAGAGGUGAAAUUCGUAGAUAUUAGAAAGAACACCAAAUGCGAAGGCAACUUACUGGGACAUCACUGACACUGAGGAGCGAAAGCAUGGGUAGCGAAGAGGAUUAG